AAAUCCAAAUAUCUUUGAAAGACAGGGUCCUGAAAAAGGGGACGUUUCUUUUUUUGCUGAGUUUAUUAAAUCUCCCAAACAGUAAUUCUGAUUCCCGUGUAAAAUAACCCUUUGAGUGAUUAAAAUACGACCCAUAAUGUUUUUUUUUGGGGCAGGAUAGAAUUUUGAAUCUCUUUUCCUCUCAUGGCUAACUACCAGGAAGUUUAAAAAGACAGGCUGAGUGGGCGGGGAGCUUAUAUUCAUGAGCUGGCCUUGACUGACAGGUCUUUGAAAAGUUAUGAAACUUGGAUGCAGUGUUGCUGUAAAAUCAUCUCAAGCUAAUUUAGUGAAACACAAAGCAAUAUUAAACAUUUAAAAAAAAAUAAAAAAAUAAAUCACGCUGUGAUUUUAGAAAUACCGACAGUUCAUUUGUUCGUUAGACAUGGUGGGAUCUUUUUCUGUCGGUGAAAUUUAAUUAUGCGGGAAACUGCGGUGGAGACACAUUUUUUGGCGCAAAUAUUAAUAUAAUUAGGUAGGUAACAUGCAGGUUAUUGUGGUCCUCCCACUACCACUCAGGUAACAUGCAGGUUAUUGUGGUCCUCCCACUACCACUCAGGUAACAUGCAGGUUAUUGUGGUCCUCCCACUACCACUCAGGUAACAUGCAGGUUAUUGUGGUCCUCCCACUACCACUCAGGUAACAUGCAGGUUAUUGUGGUCCUCCCACUACCACUCAGGUAACAUGCAGGUUAUUGUGGUCCUCCCACUACCACUCAGGUAACAUGCAGGUUAUUGUGGUCCUCCCACUACCACUCAGGUAACAUGCAGGUUAUUGUGGUCCUCCCACUACCACUCAGGUAACAUGCAGGUUAUUGUGGUCCUCCCACUACCACUCAGGUAACAUGCAGGUUAUUGUGGUCCUCCCACUACCACUCAGGUAACAUGCAGGUUAUUGUGGUCCUCCCACUACCACUCAGGUAACAUGCAGGUUAUUGUGGUCCUCCCACUACCACUCAGGUAACAUGCAGGUUAUUGUGGUCCUCCCACUACCACUCAGGUAACAUGCAGGUUAUUGUGGUCCUCCCACUACCACUCAGGUAACAUGCAGGUUAUUGUGGUCCUCCCACUACCACUCAGGUAACAUGCAGGUUAUUGUGGUCCUCCCACUACCACUCAGGUAACAUGCAGGUUAUUGUGGUCCUCCCACUACCACUCAGGUAACAUGCAGGUUAUUGUGGUCCUCCCACUACCACUCAGGUAACAUGCAGGUUAUUGUGGUCCUCCCACUACCACUCAGGUAACAUGCAGGUUAUUGUGGUCCUCCCACUACCACUCAGGUAACAUGCAGGUUAUUGUGGUCCUCCCACUACCACUCAGGUAACAUGCAGGUUAUUGUGGUCCUCCCACUACCACUCAGGUAACAUGCAGGUUAUUGUGGUCCUCCCACUACCACUCAGGUAACAUGCAGGUUAUUGUGGUCCUCCCACUACCACUCAGGUAACAUGCAGGUUAUUGUGGUCCUCCCACUACCACUCAGGUAACAUGCAGGUUAUUGUGGUCCUCCCACUACCACUCAGGUAACAUGCAGGUUAUUGUGGUCCUCCCA